GCCCGCCUAGCUCAAUCGGAUAGAGCGUCAGACUCUUACUAGGCAGGGCAUCUGAAGGCUGCGAGUUCGACCCUCGCGGUGGGCU
rnacentral:tRNA from 1 species